rnacentral:rRNA from 1 species
GGUUGAUCCUGCCAGUAGUCAUAUGCUUGUCCCAAAGAUUAAGCCAUGCAUGUCCAAGUAUAAACCAAUUUAUACGGUGAAACUGCGAAAGGCUCAUUAUAUCAGUUAUAAUUUGCUUGAUAGUGACUUUACUACUUGGAUAACCGUGGUAAUUCUAGAGCUAAUACAUGAGCAAGAUCCGACUCUCGGGAAGGAUGGCAUUUAUUAGAUACUAAACCAAUGGCCUUUGGGUCUCGUGGUGAUUCAUGAUAACUGUGCGGAUCGCAUGGCGUUGAGCCGGCGACGUUUCAAA